UUAUUGAUCAAACAUAACCCCGACUGCUAUCCAAAACCCAAGCUAGGGGACAAUGGCCGCUGUUCCUAUGCGGCUCGUCCCGCUGGUCUCCUCUCCUUCCUCUUCUCGUCCAGCUGUUCAACUUCCUCCUUCUGGCAUCACUGCCGACUUGAACCUAAGCCGAUCCUUCCGCGGCUCGGCCUCCCGAUUUCGGUGUUUCGCCGGACAGACCGACUUCUUUACGAGGCUUGGUCGUCUGAUAAGGGAAAAGGCUAAGAAUGACGUCGAGAAGAUAUUCUCCGGAUUUUCGAAGACCAGAGAGAAUCUUGCCGUCAUCGAUGAGCUGCUCCUUUACUGGAAUCUCGCCGACACCGAUCGCGUUUUAGACGAGCUCGAAGAGGCAUUGCUGGUAUCUGAUUUUGGGCCAAAGAUUUCCAUGAAGAUUGUCGACAGUCUCAGAGAUGAUAUCCUGGCUGGAAAACUCAAGUCGGGAAACGAAAUAAAGGAAGCGUUGAAGAAGAGCGUUCUUAAUCUUUUGACAGGAAAAGGUGGCAAGACAGAGCUCCAGCUAGGCUUUAGGAAGCCUGCUGUAAUCAUGGUUGUUGGAGUUAAUGGAGGGGGAAAGACUACCUCUCUAGGAAAGCUUGCUCGGAGGUUGAAGAAUGAAGGAGUAAAGGUACUGAUGGCUGCUGGUGAUACGUUUAGAGCAGCUGCUAGUGAACAGCUGGAAGUUUGGGCUGAGAGGACUGGAUCGGAGAUAGUCACGGCUGAGGGUGACAAGGUUAAAGCUCCGUUAGUUCUUUCACAGGCUGUCAAGAAGGGUAAGGAGCAAGGUUAUGGCGUUGUCCUGUGCGACACAUCUGGACGUCUGCACACCAAUUACAGUCUCAUGGAAGAGUUGGUAUCAUGCAAGAAAGCUGUAGCUAAAGUUAUUCCGGGUGCUCCUAAUGAGAUUUUGCUCGUUCUGGAUGGGACAACUGGUUUGAAUAUGCUACCACAGGCUAGAGAGUUUAAUGAAGUUGUUGGCGUUACUGGUUUAAUCCUGACUAAGCUUGAUGGUUCAGCUCGUGGUGGUUGUGUGAUUUUUGUGGAGAACUCUCGCUGUUUUCUGAAGAUUGAUAGGAAAUAAUUGGGAUAUAGAAGUGUUUCCUAUAGUUGAGCAGCACGGGAAGGAUAUGGUUAUUGUUGAGCUAUAGCAUGGUGAUGAGUAGGCACUCCUGAUUUUAUGGUUGGAGAACUCCAUUUUGUUGUGAUAGUGCUAAUUGUUGUCUCGCCACCUCUAAAAGUUGAAUAUUGGCUUGAAGUUCCUUCGUCCUGCAUAUGCAAUCCAUCAAAGUCAGCGUAGUUGAUGAGCUCGGAAUCCCCGUCAAAUUUAUCGGGGUUGGCGAAGGCGUUGAUGAUCUUCAACCAUUCGAUGCGGAGGCAUUUGUCAAUGCCAUCUUCUCAUGAGCGAGAGAAAACAAAACCAUCAGACUUGCAUUUCUGCCACCUGCAAUGUCAAUCUGUUUUUGAUUGCUGUCUGUUCUUCAUCAUAUCCAUUUCAUCCAACUGCAAUCUGGAUGUUCCUCAGGGCUUUGUGGAUCUGAGCGGGAUUAUUUUUGAAUGAAAUUCUGCUGGUCUGCUAAUGUUUAGUCUGCAAGUACGUACUUCCAUCUGCUUCAGUUCGCAGGAUCAGGACAUGCCUGUCUUGUAAGGGAUAUUAUUGUGUAUUAUGCAUUCAUUUUGUGUAUUUGAGGCAUACAUUUUACACUAAAUAUGCAUUUGUAAUGGAGCUCAGUUUGAUCUGUCGGUUGGGAGCUUUAGCUAUCAAUCAAAAGGCGUUGGGUCUGAGUCUGAUGUAUGUGAUGUGUGUGAGUUUAUCUUAAUUGAUCUAAA